UACGUAGGGCGCAAGCGUUGUCCGGAAUUAUUGGGCGUAAAGAGCUCGUAGGCGGCUUGUCACGUCGGAUGUGAAAGCCCGGGGCUUAACUCCGGGUCUGCAUUCGAUACGGGCUGGCUAGAGUGUGGUAGGGGAGAUCGGAAUUCCUGGUGUAGCGGUGAAAUGCGCAGAUAUCAGGAGGAACACCGGUGGCGAAGGCGGGUCUCUGGGCCGAUACUGACGCUGAGGAGCGAAAGCGUGGGGAGCAAACAGG
rnacentral:rRNA from 1 species